rnacentral:miRNA from 1 species
UACUGGCCUCGUAACUUCUAGC